GAUGAACGCGGCGGCGUGCCUAAUACAUGCAAGUCGAGCGAGAAGCUUGGAAAUGACGCUUCGGUUGAUUUUCCAAGCGGACAGCGGCGGACGGGUGAGUAACGCGUAGGCAACCUGCCCCUGACAGAGGGAUAGCCAUUGGAAACGAUGAUUAAAACCUCAUGACACCGUAGUAGCACAUGCUACAUCGGUCAAAGAUUUAUCGGUCAGGGAUGGGCCUGCGUCUGAUUAACUGGUUGGUGAGGUAACGGCUCACCAAGGUGACGAUCAGUAGCCGACCUGAGAGGGUGAUCGGCCACAUUGGAACUGAGACACGGUCCAAACUUCUACGGAAGGCAGCAGUAGGGAAUCUUGCACAAUGGGCGAAAGCCCUGAUGCAGCAAACGCCGCGUGAAGGAUGAAGGCCUUCGGGUUGUAAAAUUUCUGUUUUAAGGG
rnacentral:rRNA from 1 species